rnacentral:rRNA from 1 species
CAACGAACGACAGCGUGCCUUUUUGCAUAAUGAUGUGGCGAGUUGUCCUACGUAGCAAGGUUAAGCCGAGUGAGGUGAAGCCGAAGGGAAACCGAGUCUUAAAAUGGGCGUUUAGUUGCGUGGGGCAGACGCGAAGCGGGGAUGAUCUAGCCAUGACCAGGAUGAAGCGCGGGUAAUACCGCGUGGAGGUCCGAACCGGUGAAAGUUGAAAAUUUCUCGGAUGAGUUGUGGCUAGGGGUGAAAGGCCAAUCAAAUCCCGGGAUAGCUCGUUCUCCCCGAAAGAUAUUUAGGUAUCGUCUUCAGAAAUUCUGUCACGGAGGUAGAGCACUGAAAGGGCUAGGGGUCCUACCAGAUUACCAAACCCUAUCAAACUCCGAAUGCCGUGAACUGUUAUCUGUGGAAGCAGUCAUUGGGUGCUAAGGUCCGAUGACAAAAGGGAAAGAGCCCAGACCGACAGCUAAGGUCCCAAAGUUUUGGCUAAGUGGAAAGGAUGUGGGAACGCGAUUGACAGCCAGGAGUGCUUAGAAGCAGCCAUCUUUUAAAGAAA